UAAGAUAUAGCAUAAGUAAUGCUUUUCACUUACACUGAAAUGAUGGCUAAGGUAGUAGCCUGUCUUAA
rnacentral:tRNA from 1 species